rnacentral:lncRNA from 1 species
GACCCGGAAACGGAUUAUCCGGAGCCAAGGUCCGCUCGGGGGUCAGCAGAUUAUGAUCCAGAGGCCAAGCCCAGCCCGUCUGCUUUUGUGUAUAAAGUUCUCAUGGAACAGAGCUGUGAGCCUGCCGUGUGUGGUCUACGGCUGCCCCUGGACACAGCUGCAGAGCUGAUUCCCGCACAGACCUCGGGGCCCACAGAGGGAGGCGCCUUCCCGCCAUCAUCCCCACUGAGCACCAGCCGCCGCAGCCGCUAAAACCUGCGGAACUCACUCCAUGCCCCUUGUUGGCUUUCUUCACAUAAAGUGGAUAAAACUGGGUGUUUACAGCCUAAAGCAGCCCAUGCCAAGGCAGUCCUCAGGGACUGAGCCUUAGUCACAGUCCUUGUGACUACAGCACGUCCAUAGAUGAGAGCUGGCCGAGGGAUCCGUGUGCCUCCAGCUUCUCGGAGCUGGA